rnacentral:lncRNA from 1 species
ACUGAGCAGCAUGGUUCCAAAGGACAGCAAAAGCACUUUACUGCCUUAGAAGGAGGGGAGGCUUUGCCAGGCCUAUGAAACCCUCAUCUGGAUCUGGCCUCCAGGGCAGCCUCCUGCCUGCCUCUCUGGUGAGGCUCAGCUUCUGCUCUGCCUCACCAGCUCCCCUCCAGUUCCCCUCACUCUGAGGGUGCAGGGAGCAGGGUCCCACGGGAGCAUUGGUGUGAGAGGGAGCUCCCAGCACCGAGGGAGAAGCAGGACUCACUGACCAAACCAUGUGUUUGUGCUGGAAGGGCCUCACUGCAAACAUGCUCAUCUUAUGGAAGAAGAAAGGAGGUUCAGAGAGGGAAAGGCUUGCCUGAGGUCACACGGAAAUCAACUGCCUCUUCAUUCUUCCCCAGGCCUUCACAAUGAACAGAAAGCUGCAGUUUCCUCCUCUGUAUUCUUUCUCCACUCCCACUCGCCUCAUGUACCCCACUGACCCAGGUAUGAGAAACCCAGCCUGCACCUUCUAUAGCACCACAUGCCUAGACUGAGGAAAGAUCCACAAAUGCCACUCUUCUUCGAAUAGCCUACCUUCAUGAAGUCUCACCAACCCGCUGAAUAUGGACUCCAACGGUGCCCUAGGGGAUGGUGGAGCCACCAGAUGGAAGGAGCCUGGUGAUCCCGAGAAGGAGAGAUGCCUCGCUGACCUGAACAUCUUUCCAGAACUGUUAAAUGAAGCCUGCAGGACACCAGCUGACAGUGGAAGGACUGAGGAAGGUUGUAUAAUUUUGUGCAAGGUCCACCACAAAUCCAGCUGAAGAACUGCUCCAAAGUUUAGGUCAUGGCAAGAACAAGACUGGAUCACUCCAUGUCAGUGGAAACAUGUCCACCAACUUCAUCAUUGUCUGUUGUCAUGGUUCACUUUAGAUGUAAACUUGACUGGAUUAAGGAUUCCCUAAAGUGUCAGGCCUCUGAGCCCAAGCUAAGCCAUCAUAUCCCCUGUGACCUGCAUGUACACAUCCAGAUGGCCGGUUCCUGCCUUAACUGACGACAUUCCACCACAAAAGAAGUGAAAAUGGCCUGUUCCUGCCUUAACUGAUGACAUUAUCUUGUGAAAUUCCUUCUCCUGGCUCAUCCUGGCUCCAAAGCUCCCCCACUGAGCACCUUGUGACCCCCACUCCUGCCCACCAGAGAACAACCCCCUUUGACUGUAAUUUUCCUUUACCUUCCCAAAUCUUAUAAAAUGGCCCCACCCCAUCUCCCUUUGCUGACUUUCUUUUCAGACUCAGCCCUCCUGCAACCAGUUGAUUAAAAGCUUUAUUGCUC